rnacentral:snRNA from 1 species
GUGCUUGCUUCGGCAGCACAUAUACUAAAAUUGCAACAAUACAGAGAAGAUUAACAUGGCCCCUGUGCAACGAAGACACGCAAAUUCAUGAAGUGUUCCUUAUAUUU